CAGGAAGUCCAGGAGUUCCGGGGAAACCACGAGCACCCUGUAGAAGAAAGAGCAAAGAUGAAGCUCCUUACUGAGGCAAGAAGGAAAAACCCAGAAAUUACGAUAAUCCCAAAUGCUCUGGUGUGUUUGAGAUUGGCCAAAGGAUCUGUUCACCGAAUAUCAUCAUCCGUUUGGAGAUUUGGGAUCAGAUAAGACUUCAGCCAGCAGGGGGCAGAUUUUACAGACCCCCCCAUAAUUAAAAAAACACUCCUGGAGUCUGGGACAAAGAUGAGAUGAAAAUAUCCAAGACCACGAAGUAUCCAUUAAAAAGAUCCGCUGGAUUUUACAGUGGAAUGCCAAAAGGAAACGCCUCAAUUCUUCAGAUGUAGUUCUAGCUUUCCUUGAGGUAAUUUCCCAGCAAGGUUCAACCAAACAAGCGGAGCAAAUCCAGUAGAAGAAGAAAGAAAAAGCCUUAAGAUCCUUGAUGUUGCUCAGCUUUUAUUGUCGGCCAUUUUGCAGAACUCUCCUUUUUCCACUGAGGUCUCCAGACUGAUCUGCUGGUGCUGUAUGUCGUUGGAUUCCAGAUGUGCUUAGCUCAGGCAUCGUGUGAUUGGCUGCGUGCUCAACCCAGUUUCCGCGUCUCAGAUUUCUCCACAUCCAGAGGCAGAGCAGAGGAGGGUCACUCCCUCCUGCCCGUAAAGUGAUUUUUCCACAUGCCGUAUCACUUUUUCCAUGGUGUCAGUGUUUGGGGGGAAGACUACUCAGCACACAGUGUUGGUCACUCUCAAAGACCGAAGCAGAUAAUUCUCUCCGUCCUUCUCCACUUUCACAGUAUAUGACGUGGCUGAAGACAAAGAUUUUCUUGACCUUAUUGCACCGAGCAGCACACACCUCCGUGCCUCAGCCUGCCUGUCAGGUCUGGAAAAAACACAGCAGAAGGAAGGAAUGGAAUCCUGUGGCCUGGAGCUACACGCAUACACACAGAUAAUGGUGGGACGUCGUUCCUCUCGGCCCCGCCCCACCCUGUUCAGGGCCUGUGGUCAGCAAACACAGUCAACCAGGGGCUUUUACGGGACCCCGAAGGCCGAGACCCUCGUUCUAGGGGGGUGUGGUCCAGACUUGAUGAGGAAGGAGGAUUUUAUGGGUUAAUGUCAGUCAGUCACUGAAGAAAAUACUGCUUUGAGAAACCCUUCCUUUGAAUGGCGUCUAUGCUCCGCCCAUUUCUGAACUUUUCUCCAUUGAAACACCAUAUACGUUGUGAUUUCUUGCCUAGUUGUAUUUGUUUAACAUGACACUGAUGGCAGCAAUAAUGUAGAUUUAGACAUACUUUAAGGGCAGUAUAUAAAUAUAUUAAUUUUUUUUUAUAAAAUCAUAUUUAAAGUCAAAAAUCAAAGUCAUUAACUUCAUACUUGGAGACUAAAAUUGUAAAAGGUACCAAGUACGAUUAUUUAUUUAUUUAUGAAAUUAUAUAAUUAUAUAUAAUAUACACACACUAUAUAUACACUACCAGUCAACAGUUUGGAAUUAUCCAAUUUUUUUUUUUUUUUUUUUUUAAAGAAGUCUCUUCUGCUCACCAAGGCUGCAUUUAUUUGGUGAAAAAUACAGUAAAAACAGUAAUAUUGUGAAAUAUUAUUACAAUUUAAAAUAACUGUUUUUUAGUUUAAUAUAUUUUAAAAAUAUAAUUUAUUCCUGUGAUCAAAGCUGAAUUUUCAGCUUCAUUACUCCAGUCUUCAGUGUCACAUGAUCCUUCAGAAAUCAUUUUAAUGUGCUGAUUUGCUGCUUAAGAAACAUUUGUAUUAUUAUCAGUGUUGAAAACAGUUGUGCUGCUUAAUAUUUUUGUGGAAACUGAUACAGCAUCAUUCAAAAGUUUGGGGUAAGUUUUUUUUUUAAAGAAAUUAUUACUUUUUUUCCAGCAUGAAUGCAUUAAAUUAAUGCAAAAAGUGACAGUAAAGACAUUUAAAAUGUUACAUAAUAUUUUUCAAAUAAAUGCUGUUCUUUUGAACUUUCUAUUCAUCACACAUCAUGUUCUCACACAGUGAAAAAUACAUCGCAGAGCAAAGAGGAUACUGACAACACGUCGACAGACAAGACAGAGCAGAUCGCUGUAGCGCCUUGUGAACCGAUCAUCUCUUCCUACUAGUUCAUUUAUAGCAUCAAAUAAACAUGAACGAACAUCAUAAGCUGAUCUGUGUUGGAGCCUCACGUUUGGGACUAUACCGCCCAUCAAAUUACACACCUGUGGCGAAGCAUACCUGCUCUUUAGAGCCACGUGUGGAGUGACUGCAUGUUGAGAGGCUCCAUCUCAGGGGUCAUAAACUUUAAAAGGAAAGGUGGGUUUGGGAAGCUCAGCUACCAGCAGUUUGUGACUGUCGUUCUGGACACCUAUAGAGAACAGUACAAGGAACUUUUUUUUUUUUCUCAAAAGCAAAGGUGCUAUCAUCUUUAAACUCAUUUGUCGGACAUACAGUGGGGUCCAAACAUCUGAGAUCAACAUUUAGAUUGUUAGGAUUUUGUUUGAGAACAAUUUCAAAUGAAGAAGUGAUGUAAAAUGAAGAAAUAUUUCUGUUCUAUUUCUAGGUCACUAAUCAAAUAAGUGAAUUUGUGCAAUUGUGACUCUUUGUUCUGAUGUCCAAGAUGAAAAAUUUGGGGUCAGUAAGAUUUUUUUAAUUAAUACUUUUAUUUAGCAAGGAUGCAUUAAAUUGACCAAAGGUGGAAGCAAAGACAUUUAUAAUGUUACAAAAGAUUUAUGUUUCACAUAAAUGCUGUUCUUUUAACUUUCUAUUCAUCAAAGAAUGAAUGUAUAUGCAUAUUCAUAAUAAAAAGAAAUGUUUAUUGAGCAGCAAAUCAGCAUAUUAGAAUGAUUUGUGAAGGAUCAUGUGACACUGAAGACUGGAGUAAUGAUGCUGAAAAUUCAGAUUUGCAUCACAGGAAUAAAUAUCUAGUUCAGUCAUGAAACUCUAGAGGGCGCAGUCUGAAAGGUCCUUUACAUGCAAUCUGCAAGCAAUCACAUCAUUACCAAAUGGCACAAGCUGAUUGGCUUCUGCUGAUCCUGCAGCCAAUGAGAUUGCUUGCUCAACAUUUAAAUAGCCUAGUUCAGUGUUUGCUGUAAGCUGGUCCUGCUAUCAGAGCUCCUCUGAACCCUUCCACCUCCCCCAGCUCCACCUGCCUAGAUCUGCUACAGGAUUUAUCUAAGUCUAUUUGUGCAGCAGCAGCAGCAUAUCUUACAUGCUCACAGCAGUGUGUCUGUGUAUCUAUUAGCAGUAUUCAGUCCAUACUUGCUUUGCAGCAUCAGCAAUAAUCAACAGCAGCAGCAGCGUUGCAGAUUUAGUCCGCCAAGACCAAAUACAUUAACAUUGAUAGCCAUUUUAAAUAACAUGCUAAAACUAUUCCGAGAGUUGUCAUGGUUGAAAUUACUUUAUAUACAAAUAGAAACAGUUUGUAAUAAUAUUUCACAGUAUUACUGUUUUUACUAUAUUUUUGGUAAAAUAAAUGCAGCCUUGGUGAGCGGAAGAGACUUCUUUUAAAUAAAUACAUAAAAAAUCUUACCAACCCCAAACUGUAUGGUCUUAGAUCAUAGUAAGUUGCUGUGACAUGUUUAUAAGAUAUCAACGAUUUGCCCCAGAACAUAUUGGUAAUAUAAUUUACAGCUCUGCUAUAUUGUUUCAAUUUAAUUUAGAUUUUAUUUCAGCAAUUCAAUGUUUCAUGCAUACAUACUUGUUGCACUUUUUACUUUUUACUAAUUUUUUUUUUCCUUUUUUAAGAAAAGCACUAUUGAGUGUUCACAUGGCCAUCUUUGCUACCUCAGAUGAACCUUUAGUAAUUUGUCUGUCUCCAGAAGUAGCACAGGAAUACACACUGCCACGUUGUCUCCUUCAUUCUCAUUCCCCUCCCUGUCUCUCACGUCUAUUUCUUCCCCUGCAUUUUCCCUGCUGGCGUACCAUCCCAUCUCUUUCUCUAACAUGCGCUCUGACCUCCCUGAUGUUUAACUCUAUGGAUUUCAGACUUAAGAUGUGGUUGUUUCGGGGCCAGGAGGAGGCAGUGUAAUUCAGGGACUUCCUGGGCAAAUAUGACCUCAAUGCCAUCCUCAAACCACCAUGUCACCAAAUACCGGAGCACCAAGAAGUGUAAUUGUUGUAUUGAGUUUUAUUUCUCAAGUCAAUUUAAUUUCUUUUAAGGAUGUUUAGAUAUUUUUACUGGAAAACAAGAAAAGAGUGUGUUGGAGUGAUAUUCAAUGAAAUACCUGUGGAAAAUCCCUGGUCUUAGAUCACAGGUGCAGUGUGGUUGAUGAUUACAGGGACAGUAAAACAUAUCCUUUUCUCUGAUCUUUACUGCAAAUACACCAAUUGAACAGAUGCUGUACUAGAAAAUAUAGAACCUUAAAGGGUUCUGUCAGGCGAUUCAUACAUAGAACCUUUCAUUUUAUGAAUUAAACAGCCCAUAAACAUACUUUAUCACUAGAAAAAAGGUUGUUUAACUUGGAAAGUAUUAUGAAAUCAUUUAAGACAUUUCUUCUUAGGAAGUUUUUGGCAUAAAGCAUUCUUUAAAAUGGAGUCAAGAACCACACUGAACCUUUUUUUCCCCCCUAAGAGUGAAUGUUUAGUGUUAAGGUAGACUGUCAUUGUACUUCAUCAUAUCUGACCACUUUAAGAAAGCAGCUAAAACAGCUCAAACCUGUGACACGACCACAGCUUAAACCCUUCACAGACUAGCAAUGGUCUGACAGGCGUUCUUGACUCAAGCAAAGUCCACAAACUGCAGCCAGUGUUUUUUUUUCUUUUCUAACCUCGUAAAGACACUUUCCUGUAGUCACAUAUUAAUUUUAAUCUUUUAAAACAAUUUUAGCCUGCAUUCCUUCAAAUUUGAAUGGGGUUUGGUUUACAGGCUGGAUUUUCAAGCUUAUUUGUUGAUGUGGAAUACUGUAAGAGUUUAUUUAAUCUUGAUCGCAGCCAUAUUGUUGCAUUAACUCAAGUAAAGGCAUCUGGAUAGAAAAGUGUUCAUCGAAUAGCCCUGGAACAAAACUAAGAAACUUGAGGUAUUCUGCACCUCCCCCUAUUCUCAAGUCAUUCCCUAACGACUUCACCAGACAAGCUAGAAAACAGAAAAGUGAAAUAGUCCAGUUAACAGACUGAACUCUAAAAGGAAAAUAAGCUGGGGAAAGUGACCUUUUUGGUCUUCAUGGAUAUUUUUUUUUACGGUUUAGACAUUCAGAAAUCAGUGUCUUGCCAAAAAAAAUAGCAAAAUAUAGGCUACUUAAGUUUUAAAUAAAUACAAACCUUCAUUUUGCAUUCCAGUUUUAAACGCAGUAUAAUAAAAUGAAAGUUUACUAGACUUAAACUGUUUAAUUGUAUGAAAACAACCCUUCCAUUUCUGGAUCGGCCUUUAUUUCUUGGCGCUCAGAAGCUCCAUGAAUGAGAGAGCAGCGACCCCUUCUGGUGAAGAAGAGCUGCCCAAAGGCUUCAUCAAACAGCUUUUGAGGAUUUAGCUCACAUUCAUUGCUCAAAUUAAAGCGUUAACUUUUGUUGUGGUCCGGUUAUGUGGAAGCAGCUACUCUAAUAAUAAAAUUAGAUGUUA